rnacentral:rRNA from 1 species
AGUGAACGCUGGCGGUAGGCCUAACACAUGCAAGUCGAACGGCAGCACAGUAAGAGCUUGCUCUUACGGGUGGCGAGUGGCGGACGGGUGAGGAAUACAUCGGAAUCUACUUUUUCGUGGGGGAUAACGUAGGGAAACUUACGCUAAUACCGCAUACGACCUACGGGUGAAAGCAGGGGAUCUUCGGACCUUGCGCGAUUGAAUGAGCCGAUGUCGGAUUAGCUAGUUGGCGGGGUAAAGGCCCACCAAGGCGACGAUCCGUAGCUGGUCUGAGAGGAUGAUCAGCCACACUGGAACUGAGACACGGUCCAGACUCCUACGGGAGGCAGCAGUGGGAAAUAUUGGACAAUGGGCGCAAGCCUGAUCCAGCCAUACCGCGUGGGUGAAGAAGGCCUUCGGGUUGUAAAGCCCUUUUGUUGGGAAAGAAAAGCAGCAGGUUAAUACCCCGCUGUUCUGACGGUACCCAAAGAAUAGGCACCGGCUAACUUCGUG